GGAAGUAAUCGUAACAAGGUUUCCGUAGGUGAACCUGCGGAAGGAUCAUUAUUGUAUAACCGAGGUGCGAGGGCUGUCGCUGACCCGAAAGGUCGUGCACGCCCGAGUGCCCUCACACACAUCCAUCUCACCCCUAUGUGCACCACCGCGUGGGUCCCCCUUUGGCUUGUUCGGAGGGGGGCUUACGUUUUCACACAAACUUUGUAUGCAGUGUAGAAUGUAUUUUUUGUUUUUGCGAUCACGCAAUCAAUACAACUUUCAACAACGGAUCUCUUGGCUCUC
rnacentral:misc_RNA from 1 species